UACGGAAUGUGCAAACGUUAUUCGGAAUCACUGGGCUUAAAGAGUCCGUAGGCGGCUUGUUAGGUGAGGUGUGAAAUCCCUUGGCCCAACCAAGGAAUUGCGCUUCAAACCGGCAAGCUUGAGGAGGAUAGAGGUGGGCGGAACUGAUGGUGGAGCGGUGAAAUGCGUUGAUAUCAUCAGGAACACCGGAGGCGAAAGCGGUCCACUGGGUCCUUUCUGACGCUGAGGGACGAAAGCUAGGGGAGCGAACGGG
rnacentral:rRNA from 1 species